UGAGUACGGCGGAACACGAGAAAUUCCGUCGGAAUCCGCGGGGACCAUCCCGCAAGGCUAAAUACUCCCUAGUGACCGAUAGUGAACCAGUACCGUGAGGGAAAGGUGAAAAGCACCCCGGAAGGGGAGUGAAAUAGAUCCUGAAACCGUGUGCCUACAACAAGUCAAAGCUCGUUAAUGAGUGAUGGCGUGCCUUUUGUAGAAUGAACCGGCGAGUUACGAUUGCAUGCGAGGUUAAGUCGAAGAGACGGAGCCGCAGCGAAAGCGAGUCUGAAUAGGGCGAAUGAGUAUGUAGUCGUAGACCCGAAACCAUGUGAUCUACCCAUGUCCAGGUUGAAGGUGCGGUAAAACGCACUGGAGGACCGAACCCACGUACGUUGAAAAGUGCGGGGAUGAGGUGUGGGUAGCGGAGAAAUUCCAAACGAACUUGGAGAUAGCUGGUUCUCUCCGAAAUAGCUUUAGGGCUAGCCUCGGAAUUGA
rnacentral:rRNA from 1 species